rnacentral:rRNA from 1 species
UCUUUUGCUGACGAGUGGCGCACGGGUGAGUAAUAUAUAGGUAACGUGCCUCUUAGUCUGGGAUAGCCAUUGGAAACGAUGAUUAAUACUAGAUACUCCUUCUCAUUAUAAUUUGAGUCGGGAAAGUUUUUCGCUAAGAGAUCGGCCUAUAUCCCAUCAGUUAGUUGGUAAGGUAACGGCUUACCAAGGCAAUGACGGGUAGCGGGUUUGAGAGGAUGAUCCGCCACACUGGUACUGAGACACGGACCAGACUCCUACGGGAGGCAGCAGUGAGGAAUAUUGCACAAUGGAGGAAACUCUGAUGCAGCAACGCCGCGUGGAGGAUGACGCAUUUCGGUGUGUAAACUCCUUUUAUAAGGGAAGAAAAUGACGGUACCUUAUGAAUAAGCACCGGCUAACUCCGUGCCAGCAGCCGCGGUAAUACGGAGGGUGCAAGCGUUACUCGGAAUCACUGGGCGUAAAGGACACGUAGGCGGGUUGUCAAGUCAGGUGUGAAAUCCUACAGCUUAACUGUAGAACUGCACUUGAAACUGGCAACCUAGAGUAUGGGAGGGGGAGAUGGAAUUAGUGGUGUAGGGGUAAAAUCCGUAGAUAUCACUAGGAAUACCGAAAGCGAAGGCGAUCUCCUGGAACAUUACUGACGCUAAGGUGUGAAAGCGUGGGGAGCAAACGGGAUUAGAUACCCCGGGUAGUCCACGCCCCAAAACGAUGAACACUAGUCGUCGGGAUGCUAGUCAUCUUCGGGUGAUGCACCUUAACAGAUUAAAGUGUUCC